AGAGUUUGAUCCUGGCUCAGGAUGAACGCUAGCGAUAGGCUUAACACAUGCAAGUCGAGGGGCAGCAUGGUCUUAGCUUGCUAAGACUGAUGGCGACCGGCGCACGGGUGCGUAACGCGUAUGCAACUUGCCUCACAGAGGGGGAUAACCCGUCGAAAGACGGACUAAUACCGCGUACACUCCAUCUUGGGCAUCCAGGGUAGAGGAAAUGAAAUUCGCUGUGAGAUAGGCAUGCGUCCCAUUAGCUAGUUGGUGAGGUAACGGCUCACCAAGGCGACGAUGGGUAGGGGAACUGAGAGGUUGAACCCCCACACUGGUACUGAGACACGGACCAGACUCCUACGGGAGGCAGCAGUGAGGAAUAUUGGUCAAUGGGCGAGAGCCUGAACCAGCCAAGUCGCGUGAAGGAUGACUGUCUUAUGGAUUGUAAACUUCUUUUAUACGGGAAUAACAAGAGCCACGUGUGGCUCCCUGCAUGUACCGUAUGAAUAAGCAUCGGCUAACUCCGUGCCAGCAGCCGCGGUAAUACGGAGGAUGCGAGCGUUAUCCGGAUUUAUUGGGUUUAAAGGGUGCGUAGGCGGCCUGUUAAGUCAGCGGUGAAAUCUAGGAGCUUAACUCCUAAAUUGCCAUUGAUACUGGCGGGCUUGAGUGUAGAUGAGGUAGGCGGAAUGCGUGGUGUAGCGGUGGAAUGCAUAGAUAUCACGCAGAACUCCGAUUGCGAAGGCAGCUUACUAAGGUACAACUGACGCUGAAGCACGAAAGCGUGGGUAUCAAACAGGAUUAGAUACCCUGGUAGUCCACGCAGUAAACGAUGAUAACUGGGCGUAUGCGAUAUACAGUAUGCUCCUAAGCGAAAGCGUUAAGUUAUCCACCUGGGGAGUACGCCGGCAACGGUGAAACUCAAAGGAAUUGACGGGGGCCC
rnacentral:rRNA from 1 species